UACUCGCUAUUCUUGCUAAUGUGGGGGCAGUGUUAUUGGCUAUUACGGUAUUACUGACGUGGGGGCAAUGUUGCACUGGAACAGUGAGGGUGAUGACGAGUGGGGGGCAAUGGUGGACUUUACAGUGAUGAGUGGGGGCAAAAACAAAACGUACCGGUAUGUUUUUUUUUUUUUACUGAUCCGAAAAAGAUCCGAUCUGUGACUCCUGAUCCGUGGAACGAUCUGAACCGCAGCUACAAACUCCCACCAACCUCCUCCUCCUCUCAUUGGCUGUCUCUGAUUUCCUUGUUGGUCUCCUAGUGAUGCCAUUUCAUAUCCUCUUAGCAGGACCGUGUUGGCUCCUGGGUGACCUGAUGUGUGCUCUGUUUUUUUUGGUAGCAUUUAUCACACUUUGUUCAUCCAUAGCAAACAUGGUGCUGAUAUCUGUCGACCGUUAUGUGGCCAUCUGUGAUCCUCUGCAUUAUUUCACCAAUGUUACUGAAAACAAAGUUAGACUCUGUGUGCUCCUGUCUUGGCUUUACUGUGUUUUCUACAGCUUUGUGAUGUUAUAUGAUAUCCUGAAACAACCAGGCAGAUUUAACUCCUGCUUUGGAGAGUGUGCAAUUAGCGUAAACGGAGCUGUUGACCUUGUUUUAGCCUUCGUCCUCCCCAUCUCAGCCAUCAUCAUCCUGUAUGUGAGGGUGUUUGUGGUGGCUGUGUCUCAGGCUCGUUCCAUGCGCUCCCAUGUUACAGCUGUUAAACAGCAGCGUUCAAUGACUGUAACAGUUCAGAGGUCAGAGCUGAAAGCAGCCAGAACUCUGGGUAUCGUUGUUGCUGUGUUUCUAAUGUGUUACUGUCCAUAUUAUGGGGUUUCUCUUUCUGGUUAUGAGCUCAUGAUGGCCUCUUCAACUAACAUUUUCAUGAAUUUCCUUCUAUUACUGAACUCCUGUCUUAACCCUCUGAUUUAUGUUUUUUUCUAUCCCUGGUUUAGACAAUCUAUAAAACUCAUUGUUUCUUUUGAGAUACUGCAGCCUCGCUCCUCUCAGACCAAUGUCCUGUAGAGAAAAGAGUCAAAUGACUUUGUGAGAAGGGAAAGAGUAUUUUUU